rnacentral:snoRNA from 1 species
GAAAAGAGCAGUCUUCCCUUUAAAGUGGUUAUAAUCAUAUGCUAAGUUUUUUCAUAGCAUAUCAUUAUUCAAAGGAAAUACAAAC